GAAUGCUUCUUCGCAGCUGGCUUUCAAGUCACCGGGGCACUUUGAUGAAUGCUAGGGAACUCCAGCUUUUUUAUUGUUCAUAUUCUUUUACCAGUACGUGUAUUCAGCAGCUCUGCCUGAUACAUCUGUCAAUUAUCUCAUGUCAAUGUCUCGUUAUGAAAAUUGCAGCAAGAUAAGAGAGGCCAUUUAAAGGCUUCUGUCGUCACAGGGCUUCCUGUGCUCCACCGCUCUGUGAUCCGUCGCUCCGUUGCAAACAUGAACGUGAAAUCCUUCGUCCCAUGGAAGUGAGAAAAAUCCGAUGGGAAACCAAUCUGCCUCCUCGCAGAGAACGAGGAGGCAGCUAACGGAGGCUCUGGUAAUGGAGACGGGGAGUGAAAGAGGGGAGGCCGAGGCAACAGAGAUCAGUGUUUGCGACGGAGAGACGGAGGAAAUGAAAACGGGACCCAGAAUGAGAAUGAGGCGGGAAGACGGAGUGACUUGUGUUAAUCAAGUGCCAUCAGCUUUAUCAGCUCUGUUGUUCUAGAGUGCACACAUCGAGUUCUGCCCGGCAGUGAUGUGGUUCCCAGCCCCUCUCACUGUACAGAUUACAGACAGCUGGAUAUGAUCCAGCCACCCUCUGCAUCCUUCCUCCUUCAAAGCCAGCGAUUGUCGGCUGACCUUCCACCUGUGCUGUCCUCCACGCCACACUGAGCCUACAAGCCGAGCUGUAGCAUGUAACCCAUGCAAAAUGUGCCUAUAAACUUCAAGUGCCCAAAAAUACAGCUAGCAACGAUGCCCUGUUUUAUGAUGUGGUAACCUCUAGUGCUCAGCAGGAGUGGUCAGCAUCAAGAGCAGCAAGAAACAUGACCAGAAAUUCUUAUCAAGUUCCCCAAGUCCCCCGUCUUUAUUGGGAAAGCUGGGCUCAACCUUUGAUGGUUAAACCCCCUAACCUCACUGCUUCGAUGGUAUCAUUUUACAGGCCAAAGGUCAAAAACGAUGCUGUUACCUUUCAGAGCCACCAAAGCUUUAAUGGUCUUGCACAAAAUUUCAACCUGCUAUCUGCCAGUGAGGACACACUAUUUCAAAAAAAAAAUUUAAGUAUGUUUUAAUCAUUAAUCAUAGCAUUAUCAGUAUCUCCCGUGUUUUCAUAUACUUAAUUACACUCUGUUCCCUGCUGUUGUAAUGACCCAGUUUUCCCACAAGAAUGAUUAGUUUCACCUUAGUCAUUAACUGUCUUUCUCUUGUGUCUAAUCUCUCCGCGCCCAUGUCCCCUUGCAGAAGUACCCUUAUUGCUAAGGUGAUGUGGUGUACAGUACUGACACCAUUGCCGUGUUGACCUUUUAAUGACCUUUGAACAAUGAUUCAUACCUAUAAACUAUGUGAGGAUGAACUGGAAAUUAACCGAGACCUCAAAAAUUGUUUGCCUGUAGAGCUACAUCAAGGAAACAUGCCAGCCAUUUGUUACAGAUUACAGUUACACAGCAAGAAAACGACGAGAAAAUAAGUAUUGUAUGGAUCAGCUAAUAUGAGAAUAUCAAUACAAUGGACUGUAUUAUAACUCGUAUUAGACCCACAUGUCACUGCAAAUAUCAUGACAUAUGAGUAUGUAAUGUAAAUCUUUAAAUAAUUAUAGAAAUUUGAUAUUUUUUGUAAUUGUUUUCAUGCAACAACAACGCAGACAGGAUGUUAAAUGUUUUAUUACAUGAAAACAAAAAUAGAUCAGGAUUUGGCACAUUGUAUUUCCCACUCGUCUGCUCUGGACUUGUUGCAGUGUUUCAAACACACGCUGUGAAUAUGAGAGCUAAACUGAUGAUGGGUGCUCACACGUAGGACCUCUGUGUGUUAGUUCUACCAUGAGUGAAAACACUACCAAGCUGGUUUUAUCUUUUCCUAUUUCAUUUUAGCAAUUAAAUGAGUGUAUGUUAGUUUCGACCAGUGGAUCUGAAAGUCCUAGCCGGGCGUAGCCACCCUAAUACUCAAAUGCGUAUUAGUCUCGGAACGCUCGGUUACUUUAAGUCAAAUGCUCUUUACAAAAGUCGCUUCCCUCCGUGUCAUGGUAUAAACCCUGCCUAUUAUCAGAGAAGCCGUAAUGAUUGGACUGGGAAGUUUUCUGCUGGAGGGAAAUCACUUCCCAAUGGAGGGGAUCCAGACCGUAUUCUGGCAGAGCAAAUUUCAAUGAGCGCCCAGAAUUCUUCUGGGUCCCAGGAAGUGAAACUCGGGACGGAUUACGCUCCUUUAACAACUGUCGGUUUACAGCUCAGACAGAUUUUUCUGAUGAGUACCUGUGAUACUGCUUCAGACCUGCUUCACAGCUCUAACAUUGAUGAAUCAGACAGUUACCAGACACACAAACACACGGAUGUGUUGCUCUGCUGUUGUAGAUUAGCUGUUGUAAAAGCACGUCCAUUUCCCACCUGAUGGAAACCUUUUGUUGACCAGUGCAGGAACAAACAUCUACUUUGCCAACUUUGACACCAAACCAUGUUAGAUCCACAGCCUCUAGGCUACUGAACUGAUCAUGUCAGCUCAAAUAGUUGGCUCGCUCAUGAGAGAUGUCAGAACAAGGAAAAAAUGAUUUACAUGUGUCACACACAUUAUGGUUGGUCAGUGUCAGUGUUUGUGGUCAUGAACGGAUUGGGGGCCUUCAGACAGAACACUCGCCUGUCAGAUAAAACAGUUUGUGCUUUAACUGCAAAAGUUUCCAUUGCCAUGUGUCUUUCUUAAUCACACUCUGUCAUAGCUGUUAUCGUUUCAGUGUGUUCGAGCCGAGUGUCACCUUCAACAGUUUGCCUUAAGUACUGUGCUUACACACAGGCUGAACAGAUACACAAUGUUAGAUGCAAAUAAUGUGACUGAAAGCAAGAAGUUUUUGUAUUUAACUAUCAUCAUCAUCAUAGUCUUUUGAACUGAUAUUAGCACAGGCUCCUACAAUCACCAUUACCAUGACGACCACAACCGUUUGCAC